AAAAGCUGCCAGCGGCGUCACUGCUGUGUCGCUUGAAAAUGGGCCGAGGAGGUCGGAGGUCAGGUGGUUCCUGAACGCUGAGCAACCGGCGGACUCGACCGAGAACCUGCAGACAUUUAAAAAGUGACUACAAGAAAGCCAGCCGGCGUAGAAGAAGAACUGCAGCAGGGUGAAGACGGGGACGUAGAGGUCCAGGUCGUGGCCUUUUUGUUCCUGGGCGGGGUCCAGAAACUGUCGACCAAUCAGACAAGCGAAGAAGAAGGUGUAGACGGCCAGAGUGACGACCUGAAGAGACGAACAGACGGAGGAUGUUCUGCAGGUCGAUGCUGUCCUGAAUUCGUCCUUCCUGUCGCGCUUUGGAAGCCAAGUUGGAGAACCAGACGACAGGAAUCCAGUACUUCAGGUGAGGAGAUCGAAUGUUCUCAAAGACCUUCCUCUCCUCAGGAGUCAUGAAACCUGUGGAAACGGAUUAUAACAGGACUUGUUGGGAAGAAGUUUGGUCGACUGUGUGACUGUUAGGAUCGAUGCUAACCUGCCUCCACCACGUGCUCCAUGGUCGGGAAGCGUUUGCAGACGGCCGUGCUGACGGAUCUGAAGAUGAGCAGCGAUGUCAGAUUAACGUAACGAACCAGCGUCCGGCGCAGCAGCCGGCCAUAUUCAUCUUUACCCUGAACACAGCUGGGAAAGGCAGGAGACAGAUAGAAAACUGUUUAAAGUUCAUGAAACUCUGGAUUGAAGUGAAAAAAAGGUUGUUUUUAAAUCAACAAAACUCUACAGAUGUGUACACAUCGAAACAUCCAGCUCCUGAACCGGAGAGAUGAGCUCCACAAACACUCAGCUGCUUUUAACUUCCUCUGCUCUUUAAUGAUCUGUUUCCAUUAGCAGGCUGCUAAUGAGGCAACCCAACACCCGUCUGUCCGUCUGUCUGCCGAGGCAGGAAGUACAGUUCCAGUUAGAUUUCAGCUCUUUAGCUUUUAUGGCCUUCGAGUGGUUUUAAAUCUCUCACCAUUUACAGUAGAACCAAACAUCCAUCCGUCUGUCAGUGACGGAGUGUUAAGUCGUUUUAUUCCCAGAGGACUAAUAUUAACUGGACUCCUGCUGCCUUUAUGACCUCAAUUAAGGUCCGUCUACAUGAUUCCACAGUAAGGGCGUUACCAGGAACAAACCACAACUUGUCAAAAAGAACAUAAAGAUUUUUCAGGCAUUUGCAAAAAAUAUGUUUAGAUGAGACUUUUGGGAGAACAUCCUCUGGAUGAGUCAAUGGUGGAACUUUCUGGAAGACAUGAGUGAGGGUUACAUCUGGUGUAAAACUAAUAGUGUAUUCCACCAGAAGAACAUGAUACCAGCAGUGAAACAUGGUGGUGGUAGUGUGAUGGUUGGAGGACCUGAACGACUUGUCAUAAUUAACAAAGCCAUGAAUUCUGCUCUCUAUCAGCUGGAGAAUAUCCACCAUCAGUUCAUGACCUAAAACUCAACACAAAUGGGUUCUGCAGAAAGACAAUGACCCAAAACUACACAAGGAAAUCCACCUCUGAGUGACUGAAAAGGAACAAAAUUAAUUUUUGGAGUGGCCGAGUCAAAGUCCUAAUUUGAAUCCAAAUGAGAUACUGUGGAAAGACCUUAAAAGGAGAAUACUGAAUUUCCCUUUGGGGAUGAAUAAAGUGAUUCUGAUUCUGA